GGCGGUAUCGUCUAACGGUUAGGACGUCAGAUUCUCAAUCUGGUAAUAGGGGUUCGAUUCCCCUUACCGCUA
rnacentral:tRNA from 1 species